AACGAACGCUGGCGGCAUGCCUACACAUGCAAGUCGAACGAAGGCUUCGGCCUUAGUGGCGCACGGGUGCGUAACGCGUGGGAAUCUGCCCCUCGGUUCGGAAUAACAGUUAGAAAUGACUGCUAAUACCGGAUGAUGACUUCGGUCCAAAGAUUUAUCGCCGAGGGAUGAGCCCGCGUAAGAUUAGGUAGUUGGUGGGGUAAAGGCCUACCAAGCCGACGAUCUUUAGCUGGUCGGAGAGGUGGAUCAGCCACACUGGGACGGAGACACGUCCCAGACUCCUACGGGAGGCAGCAGUGGGGAAUAUUGGACAAUGGGCGAAAGCUUGAUCCAGCAAUGCCGCGUGAGUGAUGAAGGCCUUAGGGUUGUAAAGCUCUUUUACCAGGGAUGAUAAUGACAGUACCUGGAGAAUAAGCUCCGGCUAACUCCGUGCCAGCCGCCGCCGUAA
rnacentral:rRNA from 1 species